UACGGAGGAUCCAAGCGUUAUCCGGAAUUACUGGGCGUAAAGAGUUGCGUAGGUGGCAUAGUAAGCAAAUAGUGAAAGACUACGGCUCAACCGUAGGUACAUUAUUUGAACUGCUAAGCUAGAGCAUGAGAGAGGUAGCUGGAAUUUCUAGUGUAGGAGUGAAAUCCGUAGAUAUUAGAAGGAACACCGAUGGCGUAAGCAGGCUACUGGCUUAUUGCUGACACUAAGGCACGAAAGCGUGGGGAGCGAACGGG
rnacentral:rRNA from 1 species